GCCUAGUCAGCAAACAUCUCUGAGCAGCGCAGUAGUCAUACCCAAAUUCUCCAUGCAGUGUUACAAUAUUUUUUUAUAUCACAUAAGGCACAUUUUGGCUCGUGUUUUUGUGUGGAAUUUUCGAUUCUUCAAAUUCAGAAUCAAGUUGGACUAAAUAAAAUAGUCACCACAAAACAAACCAGAAAUGGGACAGCAGAAAGAAGAAGCUAUGGGUUUCAUCAAAAGCUUGUACUAUAACCCAAGUCGGUGGAUGUUUGUUAAGAGCGUAGUGCUAUUCCUAAUUGGACUCCGAAUUGCUCGGGAGUGCAUGGGAGUGGAAGUUAUGUCAACGUGAAUAUAACAAAGUACUGGGUUUGUUGAAAACAGAUUAAUAACGUAAAUUUACUGUUUAUUUGUGCCUAAAUCCCACUUGUCCUUACGCUUAAAUGACUUAUUUUUCUGAAACACGAGUAAAAUUUUCUAUUCUGAGUGUA